CUGAAACUUUUCUCACAUGAAGAGCAGUUGUAUGAUUUCUCUCCAGUUUGGAUUCUCUCAUGUGUUUCCAGGUCUUGUGAAGGAGUGAAACUCUUUUCACAGUGUGAGCACUUGUAAGGUUUUUCUCCAGUAUGAAUUCUCUCGUGUUUUUUCAGGUGAUGUGACUGAGUGAAACUCUUUUCACAGUGUGAGCACUUGUAAGGUUUUUCUCCAGCAUGGAUUCUCUCGUGUGUUUUCAGGUGAUGUGACUGAGUGAAACUCUUUUCACAGUGUGAGCACUUGUAAGGUUUUUCUCCAGCAUGGAUUCUCUCAUGUUUUUUCAGGUUUUGUGGCUGAGUGAAACUCUUUUCACAGUAUGAGCAUUUGUAAGGUUUUUCUCCAGUAUGAAUUCUCUUGUGUGUUUUCAGGUUUUGUGACUGAGUGAAUCUCUUUUCACAGUGUGAGCAUUUGUAAGGUUUUUCUCCAGUAUGAAUUCUCUUGUGUGUUUUCAGGUUUUGUAACCGAGUGAAAUUCUUUCCACAGUGUGAG